AGCGAACGCUGGCGGCAGGCCUAACACAUGCAAGUCGAACGAACUCUUCGGAGUUAGUGGCGGACGGGUGAGUAACACGUGGGAACGUGCCCUUUGGUUCGGAAUAACUCAGGGAAACUUGUGCUAAUACCGAAUGUGCUCUUCGGGGGAAAGAUUUAUCGCCAUUAGAUCGGCCCGCGUCUGAUUAGCUAGUUGGUGAGGUAACGGCCCACCAAGGCGACGAUCAGUAGCUGGUCUGAGAGGAUGACCAGCCACACUGGGACUGAGACACGGCCCAGACUCCUACGGGAGGCAGCAGUGGGGAAUCUUGCGCAAUGGGCGAAAGCCUGACGCAGCCAUGCCGCGUGAAUGAUGAAGGUCUUAGGAUUGUAAAAUUCCUUCACCGGGGACGAUAAUGACGGUACCCGGAGAAGAAGCCCCGGCUAACUUCGUG
rnacentral:rRNA from 1 species